AUCCAUUUUCUCUGUUAAGAGACAAAUAAUCAAAAAUGAAGCCUCAAAAACUGUUACGGUUAAUGGAACAACACAUUUAUUAGAUCAAUAACUCUUCAAGAAGAUAACCCAUGUACAUUGAUGUCACUCUUUAGACAGAACUUGCAGAACAAGAACAACAGAUAGGGAAUUCAAAUCAAAAUCUCCCAUUGUCUGUUGAAUGAGUUGCAAGAUAUGGAACUCUUAAUUCAAAAAAUACAGCCACUUCAAAUUCAAAUUAGUGGACACAUGGAAGCAC